CCUACGGGAGGCAGCAGGGAGGAAUAUUGGGCAAUGGACGAGAGUCUGAACCAGCCAAGUAGCGUGAAGGAUGACUGCCCUAUGGGUUGUAAACUUCUUUUAUAAAGGAAUAAAACGAGGCACGUGUGCCUUUUUGCAUGUACUUUAUGAAUAAGGAUCGGCUAACUCCGUGCCAGCAGCCGCGGUAAUACGGAGGAUCCGAGCGUUAUCCGGAUUUAUUGGGUUUAAAGGGAGCGUAGAUGGGUUGUUAAGUCAGUUGUUAAAGUUUGCGGCUCAACCGUAAAAUUGCAAUUGAUACUGGCAGUCUUGAGUACAGUUGAGGUAGGCGGAAUUCGUGGUGUAGCGGUGAAAUGCUUAGAUAUCACGAAGAACCCCGAUUGCGAAGGCAGCUUACUAAACUGUGACUGACAUUGAUGCUCGAAAGUGUGGGUAUCAAACAGGAUUAGAUACCCCUGUAGUC
rnacentral:rRNA from 1 species